rnacentral:rRNA from 1 species
UACGAGGGGGGCGAGCGUUGUUCGGAAUUAUUGGGCGUAAAGGGUGCGUAGGCGGUUUGGUAAGUCUCUUGUGAAAUCUAUGGGCUCAACUCAUAGUCUGCAAGGGAAACUGCCGGGCUUGAGUGUGGGAGAGGUGAGUGGAAUUUCCGGUGUAGCGGUGAAAUGCGUAGAUAUCAGGAGGAACACCAAUGGCGAAGGCAGCUCGCUGGGACGUGACUGACGCUGAGACGCGAAGGCGUGGGGGAGCAAACAGG